rnacentral:ncRNA from 1 species
UAUAGACAAAGGCAAGCUUAUCGAAAGAUAAGGGUGAAAAACCAAGGGCCUAAUGCAAUUAUAUUGUUAUGGUAGCUGGUUACCGCA